rfam:Streptococcus pseudoporcinus LQ 940-04 Contig1216510748, whole genome shotgun sequence.
AGACAAUAUUAUUGGAUGAAAAAGAGUUUUUAAGGUUAUCUAAUGAUGAAAAUUUAAUACACAUAUUUUAGACGAUAGAAAAUAAUAAUUCUGUCGUCUUUUUU